AUUGAACGCAGGCGACAGGCUUAACACAUGCAAGUCGAGCGGGGGAAGGUAGCUUGCUACCGGACCUAGCGGCGGACGGGUGAGUAAUGCUUAGGAAUCCGCCUAUUAGUGGGGGACAACAUCUCGAAGGGGAUGCUAAUACCGCAUACGUCCUACGGGAGAAAGCAGGGGAUCUUUGGACCUUGCGCUAAUAGAUGAGCCUAAGUCGGAUUAGCUAGUUGGGGGGGUAAAGGCCUACCAAGGCGACGAUCUGUAGCGGGUCUGAGAGGAUGAUCCGCCACACUGGGACUGGGACACGGCCCAGACUCCUACGGGAGGCAGCAGUGGGGAAUAUUGGACAAUGGGGGGAACCCUGAUCCAGCCAUGCCGCGUGUGUGUAGAAGGCCUUAUGGUUGUAAAGCACUUUAAGCGAGGAGGAGGCUACUUUAGUUAAUACCUAGAGAUAGUGGACGUUACUCGCAGAAUAAGCACCGGCUAACUCUGUGCCAGCAGCCGCGGUAA
rnacentral:rRNA from 1 species